CUAACGGCUCUUUUAAGAGCCACCCAUGUUCUCAGGGAGAGAGCUG
rfam:Camelus ferus unplaced genomic scaffold scaffold595, whole genome shotgun sequence.